CAGCCGCCACGGUAAUGCGAAGGGUGCAAGCGUUACUCGGAAUUACUGGGCGUAAAGCGUGCGUAGGUGGUGGUUUAAGUCCGUUGUGAAAGCCCUGGGCUCAACCUGGGAAUUGCAGUGGAUACUGGGUCACUAGAGUGUGGUAGAGGAUAGUGGAAUUUCCGGUGUAGCAGUGAAAUGCGUAGAGAUCGGGAGGAACAUCAGUGGCGAAGGCGGCCAUCUGGGACAACACUGACGCUGAGGCACGAAAGCGUGGGGAGCAAACAGGAUUAGAUACCCCAGUAGUCCCUGUCUCUUAUAC
rnacentral:rRNA from 1 species